rnacentral:rRNA from 1 species
CAGUCGCCGCGGUAAUACGAAGGGUGCAAGCGUUAAUCGGAAUUACUGGGCGUAAAGCGUGCGUAGGCGGGCAGGUAAGUCAGUGGUGAAAUCUUCGAGCUUAACUCGGAAACUGCCGUUGAUACUAUCUGUCUUGAAUAACGUUGAGGUGAGCGGAAUAUGUCAUGUAGCGGUGAAAUGCUUAGAUAUGACAUAGAACACCGAUUGCGAAGGCAGCUCACUAGACGCUCAUUGACGCUGAGGCACGAAAGCGUGGGGAUCAAACAGGAUUAGAUACCCCUGUAGUCCCUGUCUCUUAUAC